CACAGGAAGAGGGUGGCUGUACUUCCACUGCCCCUUCUUGUGUAAGGCAUGCCUCCUCUAGAGUUGGAGUUAGAAAGGAGGGGACAGCACCAAAUGCACAUACGUGCUACCUAGCUGAUAUUCUUAGGGCCCUGUGUCAGUGCCACGGGAAGACCCAGCCCCGAGCACAGCAAGAAAAGGCAAAGGCCAUGUCUCCUAGAGUAGACGCUUGGCGGCCUCCAUCAAGUUACUUGAUCUCUGCUCUUCUCUUCAUGUAGGUUGGAGGUGCUCAUUGCCCUCAUGCUCACGGUUUUCAUCAACUCUUAAAUGUGAGCAGCACAUGUUCAGCCAAACCUCAGAGGAAUUUAUGAUCUAAUCGUGACUGGCUUUGGGGCUUCAGCACAAGUGCCAGAGUGUGUCUGAUGUCACAACCGCCACUCGCUGAUUGUGACAGCACUUUUUUCUCCCACUCGCUCAUGAAACCACAACAAACGCAAGGCCAUGGUGAUGGAAGUAUUACACAGGAGCCUUCAAUCUGCUAGAAUUUAUUUUUUAGCGUAUUGUUAGUGAACUUGGAUGCUAACUUACAGUGGAAAAGACAAGAAUUUUCACAGAGUUUCCAAGCAUUAGAACUUAUCUAACAUUCACAACAACCUGUGGAUGUUAUAUUCCUCUUUGUGCUAUAUAGUAAGCAGCCUUGAAAGAUUGAGGUACGUGCUCCAUCCUAGAAUUCAACCUGAGGUCCAUGUCCCCUCUCCACAGUCCGAUAUGCUUGAAGCCACGGCAAACUGCCCAUUCUUGAAAGUCGGGAUUUAAUUUUGGUGAGUGCUCUCAAAAUCUCAUUCCCAGGUACCAAAUGGUAGGUCUAAGAGGAAGUAGCUCAUUAGAGGAGCAGGAGAUGGGCCUAUAAUACACAGCAGGAGCAUCGACUACCUCCACUUACGAAGUUCACUCUUAGAAGGAUCAGCCGGAGAGAGCUCUUGAUCUACAAACUGCCUGCACCCACGUGCUUGAUAGAGGCAGCUAAAACCUUAAGAGAGUUUAAAAGUCUAAACUAAACCUGAGAUUGGGGAAGGGGAAAAAAGCAAGUCCACCACAAUCAAAGAAAAACAGCCAAGAAGAGCCAAAAAGACCUCUGCUGAGAUUGACCAUCCAGUGACAAGUGUGUCUGGCCAGAACUCAAAAGAGGUGUCACACACAUCAAAAGUGAGGCUGCCGAAGAGCAGUGUGGGGAUGAGCAUGCAGUGAGCUGCAGAAGCUCACAGCAGAUGGCCACAGAGACUUGGAGCCCAAAGCUGUUCACUUCCAGACCAUCAGUGCCUUCCUGAAGGAAAAUUAGCCAAGAACAAAAAGAUCCAGUUCCUCCCCUGCUGGCCAUUAGCUCACUACCCAAGAAACCAAUUGAAGACAGUGGUCAUUUCCCCCUUUGCUGCUGUGGUAAAGGAGCUUGGAGCCUUCUCUGUAGCCUGCCCAUGGAAAGGGCUCAGGACCAAAUGGUGUCUGUUUCUCUGUGGGUCUGCCUUCACAUUUCCUACACAAAUAACUACGUAUUUUUAUAAGCCAUACUAAAUUGUCUUUGGACUAGUGGAAUAAAGAUGACAGAUAAAA